GAUGAAGAACGUAGCGAAAUGAGAUACGUAAUGUGAAUUGCAGAAUUCAGUGAAUCAUCGAGUCUUUGAACGCACAUUGCGCCCCCUGGUAUUCCGGGGGGCAUGCCUGUCCGAGCGUCAUUGCUGCCCUCAAGCACGGCUUGUGUGUUGGGCCUCCGUCCUCCUCCCGGGGGACGGGCCCGAAAGGCAGCGGCGGCACCGCGUCCGGUCCUCGAGCGUAUGGGGCUUCGUCACCCGCUCUUGUAGGCCCGGCCGGCGCUUGCCGACACAUCAAUCUUUUUUCCAGGUUGACCUCGGAUCAGGUAGGGAUACCCGCUGAACUUAAGCAUAUCAAUAACGGAGGA
rnacentral:misc_RNA from 1 species